rnacentral:sRNA from 12 species
CCUAUGGAGAGUAUAAAAAAAAUGUGAGUAGUAUUUAGAUUUAUUAUUCAAUACAAAAACAUACUCGGCGAAAUAGGAA